rnacentral:tRNA from 1 species
CGAGAGAUGCCGGAGCGGUUGAACGGACCGGUCUCGAAAACCGGAGAGGCAACUCUACCGGGGGGGUUCAAAUCCCCUCUCUCCGCCA